rnacentral:lncRNA from 1 species
GCCAAUAUUUUAGGUAAACAAAGGAAGACAAAACAUACUGAACCAUUUUUCUUGCUGGUACUUUACAUGCUUAACUGUUCCCAGGUCUUUUAAUAGCAAUGUAUGUAGGUAUUCUUCAUUUGUUAUUUUAGUAUCGUACUCUGUUGUGUGGAGGAACUAUGAUAAUUCAGUUGGUGCUGUGUUGAGGAACUUGUAGCCUUUUACUAUUAUAAAUGUUGCUGAAAUAAAAAUACUUCUGCAUAUAUUGUUUUAUAUUUUUUUACUAUAUCUUUGGUAUAGAUUUUAAGAAGUAAAAAAAAAAUUGAUACAUUAAAGAACAAAUGCAUGUGUAAUUUGGCUAGACCUAUAUUGCCAGAUUGCAUUUACACCAGAAAUGUGUGAGUGCCUGUUUCCUCAUAGCCUUGUCAACAGAACAUCCUGGAAAGUUUCUAUAUUUUUCUACUCGAGUAGAUGAGCAGU